rnacentral:rRNA from 1 species
GAUGAACGCUGGCGGCGUGCCUAAUACAUGCAAGUCGAGCGAACAGACGAGGAGCUUGCUCCUCUGACGUUAGCGGCGGACGGGUGAGUAACACGUGGAUAACCUACCUAUAAGACUGGGAUAACUUCGGGAAACCGGAGCUAAUACCGGAUAAUAUAUUGAACCGCAUGGUUCAAUAGUGAAAGACGGUUUUGCUGCCACUUAUAGAUGGAUCCGCGCCGCAUUAGCUAGUUGGUAAGGUAACGGCUUACCAAGGCAACGAUGCGUAGCCGACCUGAGAGGGUGAUCGACCACACUGGAACUGAGACACGGUCCAGACUCCUACGGGAGGCAGCAGUAGGGAAUCUUCCGCAAUGGGCGAAAGCCUGACGGAGCAACGCCGCGUGAGUGAUGAAGGUCUUCGGAUCGUAAAACUCUGUUAUUAGGGAAGAACAAAUGUGUAAGUAACUAUGCACGUCUUGACGGUACCUAAUCAGAAAGCCACGGCUAACUACGUG